AGCAGAAAAUAGAAAUUAUGAAUCGCAGAAAUCCCGCCGGACGUCGCCAUCUGGAGGAAUCGCACAAUCUUCGCUGUUUCUUUCCAGGUUCCGUGGAGUCUCAGCAAAGAGAAGUCUUCACAUUGGCGCAAGUCAGAGAGCGAGAAAUAUAUAAUGAACAACUUGGAUCAGAGAAGACGUCGCCUACGCCACAUUAAGACUUGGGUUAAGGAUUGAUCUUUCCUGAGUUUAUGGUAGAAAAGGUCAAAUUUCCAGAAGUUUAUGGGAUGGAGGAUUCCUGGCGAGAAUCAGUCCUGAUCCUGGAUGAGGAAAACACAGAUGACG